AUUGUGAUGCCUCUGCAUUUAUUGCCUCAACUGUUACUUGAAGAUGGCAUGCUAUGUAAUUUGGCCUGUGGUAUCAGUGAUAGAAAGGAUACCUCUUUAAAGAAGGGGUUUAUUAUAUAUGCUGCUGCUUGAAGGCUUGCACUUGUAGAAUUGCAUUCCCUUCUGUGCCAUCUUUUUUUUCCCCCUUUUUAAAAAUAUAUAUAUAUCAUAUAUUUAUAUCAGUC